UACGUAGGGGGCAAGCGUUGUCCGGAUUUACUGGGCGUAAAGAGCGCGUAGGCGGAAGCUUAAGUGUGGCCUGAAAGCCCCCGGCUCAACCGGGGAAGGUGGCUGCAAACUGGGCUUCUUGAGGGGGAUAGGGGAAAGUGGAAUUCCGGGUGUAGCGGUGAAAUGCGUAGAGAUCCGGAGGAACACCAGUGGCGAAGGCGGCGACCUGGGCCAAUAUUGACGCUGAGGUGCGAAAGCGUGGGGAGCAAACAGG
rnacentral:rRNA from 1 species